AUGAAAAUCAUAAGUUGGAACUAUCGGGGACUCAGGAAUGGCCCGACAGUUCGUUCUCUUCUUGAGCUAGGAAGAGUGGAGGUUCCCGAUGUUAUGUUCCUAUGUGAAACUCGAUUGAAAGAAAAGAAGUUGGUGCGGUUCAGCUGGUCAUUGGGGCUAGCCAACAUGGUAGCAUGGAAAGAUGAAAGUAGUGAGAGGGGUGUAGCUUUGUUUUGGAGAAGGGGUUUGGAUGUUUCCUUGAGAUCAUACGGACGGAGACAUGUGGAUGUGGAUAUAGUACGGGAGGAUGGUAUGAUUUGGCGUCUGAUGGGGGUUUAUGGAGAGUCGACGAUGGAGAGGAAGAAGGAGACGUGGAAGUUACUGCGCAUCUUGAAACAACAACACCAAAAUGGUCGCCCGUGGCUUUGUCUUGGAGACUUCAAUGAAGUCCUCACAAGCAGUGAGAAGCUAGGAGGUGCUGAUUGCCGCAACACUAUCUGGAUGAUUUUCGGCAAGCACUGGAUGCCUGUGAACUGA
rnacentral:rRNA from 1 species